rnacentral:rRNA from 1 species
UACGUAGGGUGCGAGCGUUUGUCCGGAAUUAUUGGGCGUAAAGGGCUCGUAGGCGGUUUGUCGCGUCGGGAGUGAAAACCAUGAGCUUAACUCAUGGCUUGCUUUCGAUACGGGCAGACUAGAGGUAUGCAGGGGAGAACGGAAUUCCUGGUGUAGCGGUGAAAUGCGUAGAGAUCAUGAGGAAGACCAGUGGCGAAGGCGGGUCUCUGGACAGUUCCUGACACUGAGGCACGGAAGGCCAGGGGAGCAAACGGG